UGCGCCUGCGGAGGACCAGGCACGGACGAUAACGGAGCUUCGCAGGCAGCCCGUCCGUGUACGGCCCGGUACAUCCCGUAAUUAUACGGGCUUUAAAGUCUUC
rnacentral:sRNA from 1 species